UGGACCAACAUAACACUGAAGGCCAUCUUGUUUACUGCAAAAUAACAGAGGGCCUGGAGUAUAUUUACCUGUACCAGUGGUUAUGAGUCAACAGGAUAGCCUGCAUUUUAGGUCAGCCGUGACAGGAAUGUGAUACAGGAAGACAAUGCCAUUUUUCAUUUUUAAAUCAUUCCUCUGUGUGAGCGCACGACUGAGAUGAUGGAGGCCUUGGAGACUACAUGGUGGGGGGGAUUCUGCAGGAGCUCUCAGCCUGCGUAUGCAACCAGACAGGGAAG